UACGAAGGGGGCUAGCGUUGCUCGGAAUCACUGGGCGUAAAGGGUGCGUAGGCGGGUCUUUAAGUCAGGGGUGAAAUCCUGGAGCUCAACUCCAGAACUGCCUUUGAUACUGAAGAUCUUGAGUUCGGGAGAGGUGAGUGGAACUGCGAGUGUAGAGGUGAAAUUCGUAGAUAUGCAAGAACACCAGUGGCGAAGGCGCUCACUGGCCCGGUACUGACGCUGAGGUGCGAAAGCGUGGGGGAGCAACGGGAUUUAAGAAACCCCGUAAGCCCAG
rnacentral:rRNA from 1 species